UUUCCUUUCUGCUCCCAGAAGACUUAAGUUUCGCUUUCCAUUCAUCACCAGCUGAAGAGGCUGAUUUGGGAAGUAUAACAUUCUUCUAUAAAAUCAGAACUUUAAGAGAGGAAAAAUAGAGGCUUUGGGAUUCCUGAGGAUGAAAGUCAUCAGCUCUACAAGAAGACCAACAGAGCCGACUAACCAGGACCCAGUGGGGCCUGCAGAGAAUGAAGCACUAACCAAGGACCAUGCAAGGACUGCAUCUAGGCCCGCUACACAGAUGUAACCAAUGUUCAAGCUUCAUGUAGAUACCCUAGUAAGAAGAACAGGGCUUGUCUCUGACAUGGACUCUUGUCUGUGUUUUGAUUGCUUCCCCUGUUGGCGCUGCCUCUCCAAGCCACAGUUGAAGAGGAUGCACUCAGUCCUGAUGUGAUUUGAUGUGCUGGGAUGGGUUGGUGGGGAGAGGGCUUACUUUUUCUGAGAAGUAAUAGAGUGAAGAAGGGGGAGAGAGAAAGAUGGAGGGAGGGUGAAACCGGGAGGAGAUGGUAGAGGGGGUCAGGAUGUAAAGUGAAUAAAUAAAAUAAUUUUUUAAAAAGAA